rfam:Synechococcus sp. JA-2-3B'a(2-13), complete genome.
UGAGGAGUGAAGAGAAGAAGCCUCUGGGGUCGAAACACGGACAGACGCCCAGGGGUUUUUUCAUG